rnacentral:rRNA from 1 species
UCCCUCAAAGAUGAUGAGGUUAAUAGGUUCGAGGUGGAAGCGUGGCGACACGUGGAGCUGACGAAUACUAAUCGAUCGAAGACUUAAUCAAUUU